UACGUAGGGCGCAAGCGUUGUCCGGAAUUAUUGGGCGUAAAGAGCUCGUAGGCGGUCUGUCGCGUCGGCUGUGAAAACCCGGGGCUCAACUCCGGGCCUGCAGUCGAUACGGGCAGACUAGAGUGUGGUAGGGGAGACUGGAAUUCCUGGUGUAGCGGUGGAAUGCGCAGAUAUCAGGAGGAACACCGGUGGCGAAGGCGGGUCUCUGGGCCAUAACUGACGCUGAGGAGCGAAAGCGUGGGGAGCGAACAGG
rnacentral:rRNA from 1 species